rnacentral:lncRNA from 1 species
ACAGUCUCUAUAGCAAUGCUCACAAAACCUUUGAUAAGGGCUUAGAUCUAUGGAUGAAUACAUGAAAGAAUUCUACUAAUUGGUCACUAGAAACGACUUGAUAGAAAGUGAAGAGCAGAUGGUGGCGAGAUACUUAGUGGACUACGAUAGUAGAUUCAAGAUGCCUUGAGGCUCCACUCCCUGUGGAUGGUCAAGAAAUCUUACCACUGAGCCU